rnacentral:rRNA from 1 species
CCUACGGGGGGCAGCAGUGAGGAAUAUUGGUCAAUGGCCGAAGGGCUGAACCAGCCAAGCCGCGUGAAGGAAUAAGGCCCUACGGGUCGUAAACUUCUUUAGUCAGGGAACAAAGGGUGCCACGUGUGGCGCUGUGAGUGUACCUGAAGAAUAAGCAUCGGCUAACUCCGUGCCAGCAGCCGCGGUAAUACGGAGGAUGCGAGCGUUAUCCGGAUUUAUUGGGUUUAAAGGGUGCGCAGGCGGAAGCGCAAGUCAGCGGUAAAAUUGAGAGGCUCAACCUCUUCCCGCCGUUGAAACUGCGUUUU